rnacentral:sRNA from 1 species
AAGUUCAUCGAGUAAGAGGUCAAUAUUCUGAUUGCAAAUGUGUUUGUGUAGAUAUAUGUAUAGUUUUUAAAAUUUCUAUCUAAACAUUUUCUAACUAGUAAAUCUAGAAAAAUGCUAUAUACAAGAGGUAAAAAAAUGAAUGUGAGUGAUCAUUUUAGUAAAUAGAAUUUGUUAUUUGCAGUGUUCCAGGCUCUAACCAACUUCCUUUUUUGGGGGGUUUUGGGUUAUAUAGCAAAAAGCAUCACAAAGUCCACAAAAACAGCACCCGCUCCUAGAUGGCGUAGAUGGUGAGUGCCCCUUCCCAUCCAGAAGGUCUCAGCACACUGAUGAUAGUACCUUGUUAGUGUCGCUGUCAGGGUUGAAUCAAGUGGGCUGUGCUGCUACCCUGCCUCAUUCUUCUGCCUUCACGCCUCGUAAGAGUGAUGACAGACCUAAUGCUCUAUUAAGUUCACCUACAACAGAAACAGUUCAUCAUUCCCCUGCAUAUUCUUUUCCUGCUGCUAUCCAGAGAAAUCAGCCUCAGCGCCCUGAAAGC